UUUGAUCCUGGCUCAGAAUGAACGUUGGCGGCAUGGAUUAGGCAUGCAAGUCGAGCGAGAAAUUUUAGUUUGAAGCUUCGGUUGAUUUCUAAAAUGGACAGCGGCGCAUGGGAGAGUAACGCGUAGUUAUCUACCCCCGAGUUCGGGAUAGCUGUGGGAAACUGCAGGUAAUACCGAAUAACAUCUCCGGAUCAAAGGUGUGAUUCCGCUUGGGGAGGAGACUGCGUACUACUAGCUUGUUGGUGGGGUAAUGGCCUACCAAGGCUUUGAUGGUUAGCGGGCGUGAGAGCGUGGCCCGUCUCACUGGGACUGAAACACUGCCCAGACACCUACGGGUGGCUGCAGUCGAGAAUCUUCGGCAAUGGACGAAAGCCUGACCGAGCGAUGCCGCGUGCGGGAUGAAGGCCUUCGGGUUGUAAACCGCUGUCAGUAGGGAGGAAGGGUCCGUGAAGAGCGGAUCUUGACCUAUCUUCAGAGGAAGUCCGGGCUAAGUUCGUGCCAGCAGCCGCGGUAAUAAGGG
rnacentral:rRNA from 1 species